ACAGCAGUGAAAAUAGUGUUUGUGUUUGGCGAACAAACCUUGCAGCAAAAGCGCAUGUACGCAUGCGCGUGAGAGUCGUUUGUUGGAUCAGGUUUAAAUUCCAGCGCAGCAAUGGCAGAGCUCCUCCGAAACAUCAUAUUCAGGCGAUUUUCCUUCAUCAAAGUUAUGGGCCAUUGGAAAACCACACAGCUACAAUGAAGAUGGGAAUCCUUGAAACAGUUAGCAUCAGGAGCAUGGUGAAGUUUAAGAGCCCUGUCAACUGUGCUGAAUGUCUGCUGUCCUGGAAGAGGAGAUGGUGCUCGACAAUAGGAGGCUUUAUCAAUGCAUCGUUUGUGCUUUUGGAUUAUAGUAUCUACUCAACCUGGAAUACAAUGACUAAAUAGGUUUACAUGGUAAAUAUUUGAAACAGAUGCAGCUUUAUGUGCUUGAAGUUCCUCUUGAAGAUUUUUUUUUUACUUUUCUUGAAACUUUUGUGAGUUUUUUUUUCUGUUCUGGAAUCAUCUGUGUCAACUGGGUAAAGUAACCCAUUGUUUAGAUUUAAUGGUGCUUUUGACGAUUUUAAUAUUCAUUUAUUAAUUUUCCUUCAGCUUAGUCCCCUGUUUAUCAGGGGGAGCCACAGCGGAAUGAACCGUUCAUUGUUUAUAUGCAAAUAUAUUAGAUGUUUAAUGUUAAUGAAUGGGUUUAACCAUUAAAAAUGUGAUUUCAUAAGUUCAGAUUAUCUUUUGUAGAAUGGAAGUAUUCAGGUGACAACACUAAACAAUGGUUAAAGUAACCUCACAAAAAUACUCACAUUUUAUGCUGUUUUUUUAUUUUUUUAUAUAUAUAUAUAUAUAUAUUUUUGCAGAUAUUUGGAAUAUAUAUUAAGUACACUUCAGCUCCAUGUAUUGACCUUUUUCCUCACGUACGAGCAGGCGCAGCCAUUUGAAUCUUUUAGGCUGGAGAUUUCCGCUCUCAUUCACUUCCUUUGAUUUUUAGAUGUUAAAAAACUGUUUGUUUUGAUGCUUGAUGUUGCAAACUGAUAUUUUCUUAAUAUAUUAUUCUGCUUUGUCUGUAGAGUCAUAAACACACUAUUUUGUAGAGCAAGUAGUUUGUCUGUUUUCCGCUGUUUAAUAUUCCUAGUCAUUUCUCCCAUAGGGCACUGAAUCAGAUGUUCGAAAACAAAUCGGAAAAACUUCCGCCUUAAAGAAUGAGGUCCAUAUUAGGAGAAAUAAAAUGCUAGAAUUUAUACGGUAUACUUUGUUGAAAUGUGUAAUGUAUUUGUUAUUCUAAAGUACUUUUACAAUAGUGUCUCUUUAAUAUAAAUAAAUAAAUGUGGCAGUGUUUAGUGUAUUAUGAUUUCUAUAUUCUAUUAUUCAUUUUCUUUUGGGACAACGAGGAGUAAACAAUUCAGUAAAGUUGCUUUAGCAUUGUUUACCAAUAUACAAUUAACCACUAUACAUUUUUAAAUUAGGUGAAACAAAAAAAGCUUGUUGCACACAAUCUAAAACAUUCAAUUGGUCCAAUAACAUGAUUGGGCAGACUUGAUGUUUUUUUUUAUUGGUUCAAAACAAUAUUUCUCAUUGAGCCAAUUUUGACAGGCUGUUGCCACAAUUGAAUUUAGAU
rnacentral:lncRNA from 1 species